rnacentral:rRNA from 1 species
GAUGAACGCUGGCGGCGUGCCUAAUACAUGCAAGUCGAGCGAACAGAUAAGGAGCUUGCUCCUUUGAAGUUAGCGGCGGACGGGUGAGUAACACGUGGGUAACCUACCUAUAAGACUGGGAUAACUUCGGGAAACCGGAGCUAAUACCGGAUAAUAUUUAGAACCGCAUGGUUCUAAAGUGAAAGAUGGUUUUGCUAUCACUUAUAGAUGGACCCGCGCCGUAUUAGCUAGUUGGUAAGGUAACGGCUUACCAAGGCGACGAUACGUAGCCGACCUGAGAGGGUGAUCGGCCACACUGGAACUGAGACACGGUCCAGACUCCUACGGGAGGCAGCAGUAGGGAAUCUUCCGCAAUGGGCGAAAGCCUGACGGAGCAACGCCGCGUGAGUGAUGAAGGGUUUCGGCUCGUAAACUCUGUUAUUAGGGAAGAACAAUGUGUAAGUAACUGUGCACAUCUUGACGGUACCUAAUCAGAAAGCCACGGCUAACUACGUGCCAGCAGCCGCAGUAAUACGUAGGUGGCAAGCGUUAUCCGGAAUUAUUGGGCGUAAGCGCGCGUAGGCGGUUUCUUAAGUCUGAUGUGAAAGCCCACGGCUCAACCGUGGAGGGUCAUUGGAAACUGGGAAACUUGAGUGCAGAAGAGGAAAGUGGAAUUCCAUGUGUAGCGGUGAAAUGCGCAGAGAUAUGGAGGAAUACCAGUGGCGAAGGCGACUUUCUGGUCUGUAACUGACGCUGAUGUGCGAAAGCGUGGGGAUCAAACAGGAUUAGAUACCCUGGUAGUCCACGCCGUAAACGAUGAGUGCUAAGUGUUAGGGGGUUUCCGCCCCUUAGUGCUGCAGCUAACGCAUUAAGCACUCCGCCUGGGGAGUACGACCGCAAGGUUGAAACUCAAAGGAAUUGACGGGGACCCGCACAAGCGGUGGAGCAUGUGGUUUAAUUCGAAGCAACGCGAAGAACCUUACCAAAUCUUGACAUCCUUUGAAAACUCUAGAGAUAGAGCCUUCCCCUUCGGGGGACAAAGUGACAGGUGGUGCAUGGUUGUCGUCAGCUCGUGUCGUGAGAUGUUGGGUUAAGUCCCGCAACGAGCGCAACCCUUAAGCUUAGUUGCCAUCAUUAAGUUGGGCACUCUAGGUUGACUGCCGGUGACAAACCGGAGGAAGGUGGGGAUGACGUCAAAUCAUCAUGCCCCUUAUGAUUUGGGCUACACACGUGCUACAAUGGACAAUACAAAGGGCAGCUAAACCGCGAGGUCAUGCAAAUCCCAUAAAGUUGUUCUCAGUUCGGAUUGUAGUCUGCAACUCGACUACAUGAAGCUGGAAUCGCUAGUAAUCGUAGAUCAGCAUGCUACGGUGAAUACGUUCCCGGGUCU